CCCCUGCCCAGCCCUGCCCUGCCCUGCGCGCCGCUCCCCACUUCUCCCCACUUCACUUCUCCGCUCCCACCGCGGCACCGGCCGGGCGCGGGGGACGCGCAGAACGCGCUGGUCCCUCGCCGUGUGUGGGAUGCGCCUUGGCCGCUGCGGGGGUGGUUUGGCUUCUAAAGCUUUCCUCUACGCCCGCUGCCAAGAGGGUGUUUUUGAGGGACUUGGUGGUGGCCGGUGGAGCGGUAAUUACUUAAAUUUAGCCAUUUCUAGAUGAGUGAUUUGUUGUUUCUGAUCUGACUUCACAGAGGUAGACCUAAGAAAAUGAUAUAUUUUGGGUUGGGUGCCAAAUGCCCAUUUAAUCUUAGCUAGUGUCUGAAAAGUGAUUUUUUCCCCCAUAAGAUGUUGGAUUCUGUCUUUGCUGUUUGCCUUGGAACAAACAUUGUAGCCUUUCCUAUCUGUCAUGCUGCAGUAAGAGCUGCAGUCCUUUUCUAGGAGAUUUGAAGUAAAUAAUUACAUUCGUAUUUUUAAAAUAAAUGAGAAUUUUCACUGAUAAAAGUAUUGCAAAGAGAAUGGGAGUGAUGCCAGUUCUGCAAACAUAUGUGUAGGGGUUGAUAACACGUGUAGGAAAGAUCUGAGCUUGGAGGAGGAAAUGCUCUCCACAAUUUACAGUUGCCAACGUUAGUCUCACUGGGAUGGGAGCUUGUGCCCUGGUUUAUAAUUUUUUUUUUAUAUCCUAGGUUCUAUUGGUUCUACUUUUUCUGGUUUUUGUUUUUUCCUUUUUUUUUUUUUUUUUUUUUUUUUUUUUUGUCUACAGGAAAGUAUUUCCUGCCUAUUGGUAGCUGCAUGAUGUCUUUUAGCAAAGGGCUAUUUGCCAUCACUAGAACCUCUCCAUAGCUUUACACAUCUAUUUCUUAUUUUGGAUCUGAGAGAUUUUGCUUUGCCAUGAGAUUUCACAUUAUUGGCAGUUCUCUCUUGGCCACAUCCAUAGCAGGAGAACUUCCUCCCUUUCUAACAGACUGUUCAUACUUGUCAGGUGAAGAAAAUGGCUUGGAUUUACACCUAUGCUUCCUAGGAACAGAGUACUCUAAUCAAAGUAUAAUCUUUUGAUAGCCACUGACAUGUCUAAAUUCUGGGGUUUUGCCAUUAUUGCUUUUGUGCUAAAGCAUUUUGCUCAGUAGAGGUGAAAGUGUCUAGAAGUAUAAAAGAAGAUUUCCCAUCUCCUGUUGUGCUCAGGGUGGCCAAUACCACAUGCAACCCUUAAGAAAAAGAGUGGCUCCUAUUUCCAAGCGUCAGUUGUAUCCCAUUAUAAAUACUAAAACUGAAUAAAAUGAAAAAAAAAAUUAAACCAAUAAAUCACAAACCCAAUAGCUGGGGAAAGCAGUAGCAGAUCUCAAUGACACAAGAGGCAGAAAAACACAGGGAAAGUGCAUCAGACCUAAUCAAAAGACCAUUGAAAUGAAUGGAAAGUCUCCCAUGGAUGGUCAAGGGCUUAAUAGGUCAGAAAUGAGCCAUUUAGUGCCAAUGACUACUGUUGGAAAUAAUUUCCACUGUGGUAGUCCAGGAAUGAUUACAUGCAAUCCACUGUGUCAGAUGAUGUAAAACUAAGCUUAUUUACCUGAAUUUGCAGGGAUUUUGUUGCUGCAGAUGGGUAUAAUUAGAUUCCUGGUGCUGUUGUGUUUGCAGGGGAAAUUUUGUUUUCGGUUUUUUUUUUUUUUUGGUUUGAUUUUUUAUUUUGGUUUUGGAUUUUCUUUUGGCUUUUGUUUUGUUUGUUUGAUUGUUUUUGUUGCUGUUUUUUACUUUCCUUUUGGGAACAUUAUAAAAUGAGGGUUCUGUUUUCUGGAGUCCUCAGCAAUUUCACCUACCUGAGAGGCCCCUGAUGUUUUUAGUUUGAAGCCAGUUAGCAAAGUUUGUGUAAUUCCUACCUCACCAUGCCAUGCAUUGUCCCCUCGUGGGGGAUGGUUUCUCCUAGAUGGGGAGUGAAAAGUUGGCCAUUUCCUUGGGUGACAGGACAGCUUCCAAGCAGUAGAAGCUGACUGGCUCUGGAGUCUAUGUUGGCCUCUCUGGAGAUGUCCUGCCUGGGAAAGGAUGAUGCUGGUGGGAUGCUGAUUAGCUUGAAGAAUCACCUCAUAGGUAUGAAAGCCUACCAGUAACUUUCCAUGAAGAAAAAAGCUCAGCUGAAGCAGCAAGGGAUGUGGUUUAGCUGCUUCAGCAUGGACAAGAUUGUAUUUCCAGCAUCACCCAAUCAUGGUUUCUAAGAAUUCGAGCUGUUGACAGAUUUUCAAAAUGUUUUGACAACUCAUUUCGCUAAGAUUUUUUUACUUGGAGUCUUGAAAAUUUGUCACCAUUUUGCAGAAAUACUUAAAGUCCUUUUGGUUAUAAAGCUAGGGGGGAAAUAUUGGUUUUUUUCAUUAAAGUCCCACUGAAAAUGUUUGGUCCUUUGCAAAGUAACUGGCUCCUGUAAAAACUCCAUUAGCUAGAUAAAAAAAUCUUCCAGAGCUGUGGCUUAAAGGAAGGUCAUGGAUUUGGUUGCUCUGAUCCAGAUACAAGAGUUUGAGGAAACAUCCUGAAGCUGCUGCUGCGCCCCUGCUUAGGGCUACUUUCAGCUGGGAUCCAGUCUCCAGCCUGUUCCCAGAAGCACUUGCCUUGCUGCAGCAGCGCGUGGUGAAAAGUGGAGGAGGAAUGUCUGUCUGGGAGCUGGCAGCUCUGAAUCUCGUGAUGCCACUAAGGAAACAAUCCCUGGGGAUGGGACCUCCUUGCAUUUCAUAUCCCUGCCUGCACUGGACAGUAUUUUCUUGAUGAGAAGACAACCCAGAAGAAUUAGAAGAUUAAUUUCUACUAGGAAGAAACUUGAGUCUUUAUCAACUGCCCCUUCAAUUGCUGCUGCUAGAAGAUGGAGAAAUGGAAAAGAGAUUUAUUGUUUACUGCCAUGCUUCCUGCCUGGUAACAUGAAACUACAUCCACGUCCCCAUGGCUCCUAUCUGGUACUUAUGCACAAAAUUGUCUUCUAUGCAGCAGCAAAGCUUUGCUAGAAGCUGCAUUUACCUCUUCCACUGCCUCUACUCUUGACAUGAACCAGAAAAGUGAACCUUCGUUUUAAAAAUUACUGUGGUGACCAUCUCAAUCGUCAUCAUCAUGGACACUGGGGUGGAUUAUUUGCUCUCCUGGCUGGACCUCGCCUUGACAAUCUCUUUGCAAAUCUAUGAAAAAUAGUGUUACUGCCUUUUUUUUUUCCUUUUUCUUUGUUUUUGUUUUUGUUUUUGUUUUUGUUUUGGUUUUUUUUUUUUUUUUUCUUCAGGGAAAAGUUUGCUCCCAACAUAGAAGGAUAGGAAAAUCAUGUCAUUGAGUUUGAUUGUUCUUUGCAAGUACGUGGUAAUCUCAGCUCCUGAAUUUUUAGUUUGUAAUGAAAUGCAAACUAGAGUGUCAUGGUCAAAGAAUUUUGCCCCUUAAUAUGUCUUUAAAUUGAGGUUUUAAUGGUUAUAAAUUACAACAGUUUUAAUCAGCACACUAUAUAUUUUUAUUACUAUGAAUGAGCUCUAGAGACAUUAUUUAUGAGGAAUCAAGUGAGAUUUUAUAGUGGGAACCUUAAAGAGGCUCCUUUCACUUAAUUAAUUAAAAGCAGCUUCACCAAAAUCAGCAAAAUGAUGUGACAGUAGGAGGGAUCAGAGAUUUCUCCUCCAUCUUUACUGAGCACAUCUGAAUUCCUUCACAAUCUGGUAAUUAGCAGAAGACUAAUGACUGCUGAGUGUCUGCCUCCUGCAUCAAACCUUAAAACAUGGUCAGGUUUUAGAGGUUUUUAAGCUCAAUGGAAAACCCAAAGUAUCUCACUAUCUGAGAACACAACAUGCAUGGAGUCUUACAUUGGUUUUUUUUUUUCUUUUUUUUCAGAAAUAGUAACAGAGCUUCUUAUCCACUGGAAGAUAUCUGUUCAUCUAAGAAUCCCCCUUCCUUCGGGGACUAUUUUAAGGACAAAAGACGUGUGUUGACCUCUCAAAAAAAGACAUAUGUUGACAGAUUAAACAUGUCCAUAAUAGAUAAGGACUGCUUUAGGGAAAAGAUUUUCUUGCUAAACAUUGAAAGUGGAGCAAAGCAGCUAGAUUCGUUUCAGCCAUGUUGUAAACUGUCCUGCUUGUACAGAAAUGGGAAAUAAAAGUGGAAUUGUAUUUGAUGUAGCUGGAGGGACCAAGAAAAUGGCCAUUACUGACUGAAAACUGCCUCCUGGGCACUGUAGAGAGAAGUAAGUCCCAGUGUAACAGGACCAAUAAAAUGUCAUGAAAUAUAAA